CGCGUAGGCGGCCUUCUAAGUCAGACGUGAAAUCCCCAGGCUUAACUUGGGAACUGCGUCUGAUACUGGGAGGCUUGAGUGCGGGAGAGGGAUGUGGAAUUCCAGGUGUAGCGGUGAAAUGCGUAGAUAUCUGGAGGAACACCGGUGGCGAAGGCGGCAUCCUGGACCGACACUGACGCUGAGGCGCGAAAGCCAGGGAGCAAACG
rnacentral:rRNA from 1 species